rnacentral:lncRNA from 1 species
GUCUUCUAGUACCAGGAUGAUGAGUGAGAAGGUGUGGUGAGAUUUCUCUGCAAAUCUGUCUCUGAAGUUUGGGCCAAGUCUGCUAUGCCUAGAUAAGAACUAUCAGUGGUGAAUGCAGUUGUCUUUAACAAUUCAUUGGUGUGGGGCGGAUUCUCUGCGUGUGUUUGCAGAGCAUUGAACAGAGCACAGCUCCAGUCCUCCUUGGGGCUGCAAAAUGAAGAUGAUGUUGAUUCCUGGUUUCAUUUACAGCACUUUGAUAUUUAUGUUGUGGCCCUGCUGUAGAAGAAAAGUGUGAUUCUGUAAAUUCUUCAGUCUUGUCUCCUGGUGUUGAAAAUGGGCAACACUGUGCUUGGUGGGAUCACAACAGUAUUGUUGCAGGCAUAAAUAGAGAUGGGAUCAGCAGUGUGGCUGUGCAAGUUGGGUAGAAAAAUAAAUUGAGGCAGAAAAACA